CUUCGAAGGAACUAACGGUAAGAAAUGCCUGGUAACACAGCGGUGGUAGGAUUUGUGUCUCCCAAAGCCAGGCCAUCAGAGUUUCUCACAGUGCUGUUAAUGCGCCCGCACCACACCGCGCAUGCGUGCAAUCCCGCAUCAUAAAUAACGGAUUUACAAGCUUAACUCCGACUCAGCAAUAGCACACGUGUGGAACGCGGCUGAGUGACUGUCACCAUGAGACCCUUAGCUCUGGCCUUGGAGGUUUCCUCAACCUGAGGCUGGGGCUUUGCAGGGUGGGCUGAAGAAAGCCUCUCUGCCUGGGCCUGACGUCUUGCCUAAUGAGCAGAAACACCCUUUUGGACUUAAGGAUCCUGAGCCCCCUGGCCACAAAUCACGAAGCAAAAGAAAUCAAGCAUUAAGGUUUUCCCCAGAUACUUAUUGACCGGAAUGGACUGGAAAUGUCCAGUCUACUAGCAAACAUCAAAGACAUCAGCAGCUGCAGACCAGUCCACUCAGCAGACAGCAUGCAUGAAUCAACAAGAGCAGUUCAAUCCAGAAGAAACCCCAAGGCUUGACAAUAGGCCCAAGUCAGCAGAUGCAGCAAGAAGCCACAGGCACCUCACUUCACGAGAAGUUUCUCUCUAUGAAGUCACUACACUCGAAGCUCAGCAACAUAAUGCACUCUGCUGGGCACAAGGGUUUCUCCAUAUUCAUACCAGAUGGGGAAGCAGGAAAAUGAACUCCAGAGAGGAGGAGACAAGAAGCACCAUCUCUGCAGACAGAGCCCUUCCUAAAGUGGAAGAUUCUAGAAGGCUGACCUCCGGGGCCAAGUCUGGACUGCGCAGGGUAGCCUGGGGAAGCUCUGCCGAACAACAAUAACAUGCACGGUCUGCCCAAGGCAUGUGGAGUGCAAGGCACUCUGAAAAUUGGGCUCAAAACAACUUCUUUAUUUGAGACAAAAAGCCCUUUGUGUGGGUCUUCCUCCCUCAGCCUACAGAGGAUUCGUGUUCAGUGAGGCAGCAGCUCCUGUCUCCCCAGAGCUGCCUCAGGUAGAGACACUGCCUGACUGCCAGUGGCCAUGCAUCUGUGACCAUUACACGGGCCUAAGUGGGUUUGGGAGCUUUACCUUAGGAAUUAAGUAAGAAAAAUGAAGGCCCAAGCAGGGCACAGUGUAGCUCAGACAAUUUUGUCUUCUCUUGAUGUGAAUGAGACCUAAAUUGGGAAGUCUUUGGCCGAUGGCGAGGGCAGAUAAAUGUUAUGGAUUUGAUGUAAUCCCAGACCUCAGACUUGAAACUCAGCUUGACCCUUCCCUUUGAGCACAGGGAAGGAAGCAGAGGAGGGAGAUCGGCUCAACCAUAUGUCAAGUCGGGAGAGAAAAUGACAGCCAGAGCAAGGUGGAGAUGUGCAGAGUCAGGGGUGGAGACAACUAAAGAGAAGUCUGCAAAGUUACAUAGAUACAAUGUGUCCUUCAGGAGACAAACAGGCGGCUGUGAGAAGUGAGGGAAGAUACUUCAUGAUGGGAUCUGUGGAGUGGCACUGUGGAGCGGGACUGGAGGCGUCUGCUGCUCAGAAAUCCAAAUACCCACAAGGCCUGGGAUUGAGUGUGCAGCAGUGGCAAGCUGGACUCAUGUGCACCAAGUGCUGGGAAAAGGUGUCAGUGGCAUGGAGGCAGGAGAGUUCCCACGAGCAGCUCAGAAUUGUUUAGCUAGCACUUGGUUUGCAGAAAGUGAAGUGUCUGUGUCCUUUCAAGGGGCUGGUAUCAUAAAUACCCUGGUCACAUGUACAGUUGCUGUCUCCCUGGGCCAGUCUCAUGGAGGAGGCGUGUGUGUGUGUGUAUGUGUGUGUGUGUGUGUGUGUGUGUGUGUGUGUGUGUGUGUGUGUGUGUGUGUGUGAAUAUUCCUUUUGUGAGCACUUACCUCCAGCCUUACCUGUGUGAAAACCUUUUCCCUGCUUUAGAGAUGGCAAUCCUGAAUUGCUGAGGUUGAGGUAUUUGCUCGAGGCCACCCAACUAGUAAAUAGUAGACUUGAGCUGCAGCUCAGUGGUCUCACAGAAAUACCUGACUAUUCCACUCUAACACAUGGCUCCUGCUGCCUCCUGCAACUGGCCAGAACAGGUUAGUGCUGGGCUCCUGUGUUCUGCAGGCUCCCAAGAGCUCCUGGCAUGCCUGCCAGACCAAUGUGUGGAUCUGCCUUUUCCUGCACAGAGUGGACAACUGGCACUGAAUACCCGUCCUCCACUUGCUCCCAGAAGUGAGAAUUACCCAAGGUUGUCCCAGCAUUCUUAGCAGGUAAAGGCAGGAAUGUGGUGGACAGUCAAGAUGUCUACCUCUCAGUCUGAUAGUUUCCUGGUCCCUUGUCCUCACCCUUCCAUUUCCACAGGCAGCGCACAUUUUCAUAAGCCUCCUGCUGUCUUCUCUUUUUGCUCUAUUUUCCUUCUUGCCCCUGGGGUUGUAUGACUUGUAUGGUUCUUCUGUGCUCUAUCGUCUAGACACUUUAGCAUCACGUAAGGGGAAAGAAUGGACCACCAGCUCACCCUUACUAAGUCCCUUCUGAGCCUCUGCAUCUGUCAGGGCUUUCCAGAGAAGCAGGACAAGAAGCGACAGGUCCCAGCCCCCAAGGGUAGGUUGGCAGGCUCUGUCUCUGUGUCUCUCUGUUCCUGUCUGUCUCUCUGUCUUUGUCUCUGUAUGUCUCUCUGUCUUUGUCUCUGUCUGUCUCUCUGUCUUUGUCUGUCUGUCUCUCUGUCUUUGUCUCUGUCUGUCUCUCUGUCUUUGUCUCUGUCUGUCUCUCUGUCUUUGUCUCUGUCUGUCUCUCUGUCUUUGUCUGUCUGUCUCUCUGUCUUUGUCUCUGUCUGUCUCUCUGUCUUUGUCUCUGUCUGUCUCUCUGUCUUUGUCUCUGUCUGUCUCUCUGUCUUUGUCUCUGUCUCUGUGUCUCUCUGUUCCUGUCUGUCUCUCUGUCUUUGUCCCUGUCUAUCUCUCUGUCUUUGUCUCUGUCUGUCUCUCUGUCUUUGUCUCUGUCUCUCUGUCUUUGUCUCUGUCUCUGUGUCUCUCUGUUCCUGUCUGUCUCUCUGUCUUUGUCCCUGUCUGUCUCUCUGUCUUUGUCUCUGUCUGUCUUUCUGUCUUUGUCUCUGUUUUUCUGUCUCUCUGUGUCUCUCUGUCUCUGUCUGUGUAGGAACGAGGGGCCGAUUUUUUUCUUUUCCAAUGAAGCCUUUGAACCUCUAUAGCCUUUGUGCUGGCUGGAUGAAGCCUGUCCAGUAUGGAGGAUGGUUUCUUUUUACUUAAAAUGAGCUGGGUACAGGCAUCAGUACACCGCAAACAUCUAUAAGCCUUGCUGGCUGACUAACAAACAGGGUAGCCCAGUAGUAUACCUGCCAUGCUGCUGUUCAGCUCUCCCAGCCUCCGUGGCUCUGGUCCUCUCAAGUUGUCCCUCCUUUGCCUGGUCUUUCCUUUCCUUUACCUCUGUAAGCUCAAUCACUGGUACUUUGUUCAUGAUAGAAGCUGCCACUCCAGCCAUCUUUACUUCCCUGACAUGGCUCGAUGCACAGCUGUCCAAUUUGUGUUUCCAGAAGCCAUUGAACAUGACUGUGGAACGACCAGCCUCUACUUUAUUUCUCCCCUAACCUGUCCACAUUGCUGAGUCCUGUCUACACUGCUGAGUCCUGUCUACAUUGCUGAGUCCUGUCUUUCUACACUGCUGAGUCCUGUCUGUCCACACUGCUGAGUCCUGUCUGUCCACAGUGCUGAGUCCUGUCUGUCCAUAGUGCUGAGUCCUGUCUGUCUACACUGCUGAGUCCUGUUUGUCCACACUGCUGAGUCCUGUCCACACUGCUUAGUCGUAUCCACACUGCUUAGUCUUGUCCACACUGCUAAGUCCCACCUUAUUUGUUCACUUUGUCACCUCAACCUGAAACCUAGCAGCCCCCUCCUCUCAUUACCCCCUCACAGAGAUCGUCCCCCAUUUCUCCCUCCUCCAUUGUGAAGGGGGAGCCCCCCUCUAGGUGUCACUCCCCUCAUUACCCCCACUCCACCCAGCAAAUCAAGUCACUGAGGCCAGAUAAGGUAGCCCAGUUAGGGGAAUGGGAUCUAUAGGCAGGCAACAGAUUCAGGGACAUCAGGGUUUUCAAUGCUGUUGAACUGGUUAGCUGGCUUUCUCAUGGAGACAGUUCCUGCGUGAGAGCAGACAAGGGACCAUGAUUUCAGGACACAAGGACACAGGCUGCAGAAAAGAAUCUUCUUUCAGUCCAGAGGCUGGAAGACCAUGAUCAUAGUGCCCACAGCUGGUUUCUCCUGAGACCUCUCUCAAGGCUUGUGGAAGGCCCUCUUCUUGUUGACCUUGCAGGGCCUCUGUAAUGAAAACGCACCAGUGUCUCUCUUCCUAUCAGAACACCGCCAUUACUGUUAAAGUUCCAUCCUAAAGCCUUCAUUUCAACUUCAUCAUCAAACAGCAAUUAUCCAGAUAGUUAUGUUGUGAGGAUGUGAAGUUGCUGGUGACAACGCAUAAGGACCUUCUGAGGGAUACAGAUCAGCCCAUAGAACUUAGUCUUCUACUACCACAUUGCCAGUGACUUCCCCCACUUCAAGUGUGACAACCAUCAGAACUUGCUAGGCAUUGUUGAAUGUCCCUGGGAGCAAAACAGCCCAGAUCAAAACAAUAGGAGGAGUUUGAAUGCUGACUGCACAUUGAAGUUACUAGAGAAAUUAGACCCAAAUCCCCAAAAGGACCGCAGAGACUCUGAUUCAAAUGAAUUUGGGGUAAAGAUAUUUUGUUAAAGUGUUUCCAAAGUUUCUAACUUGUAGAAAUCCAGGGAGUGCGCCAGUGAAUAAGACAGAUAUUAAGCAACAAAUUUUAUGAUUAACAUUUUCAAAUGGGUCAUAUAUAUUAUUUUGCAACAUAUUCUUUAAUAGUUACCUGGAACGUUUUUCCGCACCAUGAGAUAAUGUAUAAUAAAAUUUUUAAUGAGUGUUGAAAAUGUUGUAGGUUAUGUAAUCAAGGUCCUGGUAUAUAUCCUAGAGAAAGAAGACUCCUCAAGUGGCCCAGGAAGGCACAGUCUUCAGAAGGAGCCUGUCUUUCAAGACUGUGGUCAGUUUCUUAGGCUAAAGUUUAAAAGGUGGGAACCAGAGUCAAAAGGGGGAGUGUGGGCUGACAAGGUGGCGCAGUGAGUAAAGGCACUUGCGGCUCCAGCCUGAAGAUCUGAGUUCACUACUCAAAACCCAUAGAAAGGGGAAAGGAGAGAGCUAUGUCCUUAAAGUUGUCCUUGCCCUCCACAUGUCCUCUGUGGCAUACCCACCCACCCACCCACAUCAUUCAACCACUAAAUAAUGAUAACAAAAUGAGGUUUUAAAAGGCUAUACAUAUUUUAUGGGUUUUGAAGCCUAUUCCAGUGUAGUUACUCAGAACUGUUGUAUCAAUCUGUAGUUUAAUCUUUGAGUAUUUCAGUUUUUGAGAUUACAUGAGUGUGGUACCUUGUCUAAACUUGAAUUUCCUUGGUUAUUAAAACUGAAUGUUCCCUUAAUCACUGCAUUACUUGCUCUUCACCCUUUGUGGAUUGUUGGCUUGUGACAUUUGUUCUUUCGUGAAACAAUACUUUAAUUUUUCUUACAGAUUUGUUAGAGCUUGUUGUGAGGAUAUAAUUAUCUGUUGCAGGUUGUAGAUGGGUUUUAUGCAGUUAUUAUUCCUCUUUACUAUUUAGAUGGAUUUGUUUCUAGAAGUAUCCUUGAGUGUGGUUCCCCCCCAAUUCCCCGCAUCUCUCCUCUCACACCCCCACUCCUCCCUCCCUUCCUUUCCAUUUUAUUCUAGGAAACAUCUUCAUAAACUUUUUUAUUCCAUGAUGAGAUCAACAUUUGUCCAUAUUUUAUUUUAUUAUUUUUUAAAAAUUAAUUUUUAAAAAAUGUACAGGUGCCCAGAGGCCAGAGGAACUGACUCUUCGAGGAGCUGGCGUGACAGGCAGCUGAGAGUCACCUCAUGUGGGUGCUAGGAGCUGAAUUCAAGCCCUCUGGAAGAGCAGUACAUGCUCUUAGCCCCUGAGCCACCGCUCCAGCCCCUACACUUAUAUUAUUAUUAUUAUUAUUACUAUUAUUAAACAUUUGGUUUUCUACUCUGUUUAGAAUGACAUGUCACUAAGGACUGAAGUUGCAUUUUAUUCCAGACAGUUACACAGUUGAUCAGGAACUUAACUGUUUUAUUUUAUUCUGUAAAUUUGAAAUGCCACUUUUCUAGCCUAAAUUCUAAUCUGAUUGCUAGGCCUGUUUAGGUACUUUUUAAUUCUACCUAUUGACUGACUUACUAGUUUUACAAUUUGUUUAAGCAGUUGAGGUUCAAAUUCACUUUAUUCUUGAUCUUUUUCAAAAGAAUUUUUGAAUUCAAAACCUUUUUUUUUAAUUUUAAAAUUUUCAAUUGUUCAACAGCAAAAUAGAUUUGUGAGUGGAAGUCCAUCGACUCAGGUGGGACUUGCAGCUUCCCCACACUGACCCUCACCAUUCAGACGUGGGCUGGCCCGUCUGCACUUUCUCCAUGGUCCCUGCAAACCGGGAUAUUUUCCACGUGAACGUCCUGUAUGUAGUUCUUAGGAAUGGAACUGUUUCCGUGUGACACUCACUAGGAUGUACAUCCGUGCUUCUGUUCAGAAGGAGGACACUCUAGCUCUCUGCUGUGAAGUCGGAUUAUUCAUUUCAGCUCUUGGCUAUCCUCACUUCUCUCGUCGUUACAGGUUAUUCGAGUGAGGUUAACUUGGUUACCUUUGCCUCCCUUGAGUUCUUGUUUCUUCUCCUCUUUCUGAACUGGACAACUGUCUAGAAAAAACUUAUCUGCAGGAGAAGUAGUAAGCACUCUUUGGCUGACUGGUAAGUUUGGACCUUUUUAUCUGUUCUAAUAUGAGACCGGCCAAAGUUCCAACGGACAACCGAGUUCUCCUGACCUGCUCAGACUUUUGUUUUGAAAUCGUACAGAUUCACAUAACAAUCAUGGGAAUUCUCACUAAAGUUAUGUAAUUUGGAAAGUUUAAAAUAACAGUAGUAUGGCUUUGUUGUUUUGUUUGAGAGAAUCUUUCCAUUGAAAUGUCUUGGUUCAAUCAAUCUCUUAACAGUCUUUUUCAGUUUCUUCUGUGAAAUUCAUUUGUUCAGCUUCUGGGUAUAAUUUUGACAACUUAGACUUUCAUAAAAAAUGAUUUUCAGAAAUAUUUUUUAUUUGUCUAAAUAAAUGUACACUGUGCCUGUGG
rnacentral:lncRNA from 1 species